AGAGUUUGAUCCUGGCUCAGAGUGAACGCUGGCGGCAGGCCUAACACAUGCAAGUCGAGCGGCAGCACAGCAGUAGCAAUACUGUGGAUGGCGAGCGGCGGACGGGUGAGGAAUACAUCGGAAUCUACCUUCUUGUGGGGGAUAACGUAGGGAAACUUACGCUAAUACCGCAUAAGACCUGAGGGUGAAAGCGGGGGACCGCAAGGCCUCGCGCGAGAAGAUGAGCCGAUGUCGGAUUAGCUAGUUGGUGAGGUAAAGGCUCACCAAGGCGACGAUCCGUAGCUGGUCUGAGAGGAUGAUCAGCCACACUGGAACUGAGACACGGUCCAGACUCCUACGGGAGGCAGCAGUGGGGAAUAUUGGACAAUGGGCGCAACCUGAUCCAGCCAUGCCGCGUGUGUGAAGAAGGCCUUCGGGUUGUAAAGCACUUUUGUUGGGGAAGAAAAGACCGUGGUUAAUAACCGUGGUUCAUGACGGUACCCAAAGAAUAAGCACCGGCUAACUUCGUGCCAGCAGCCGCGGUAAUACGAAGGGUGCAAGCGUUACUCGGAAUUACUGGGCGUAAAGCGUGCGUAGGCGGUUUGUUAAGUCUGUCGUGAAAGCCCCGGGCUCAACCUGGGAAUGGCGGUGGAUACUGGCAGGCUA
rnacentral:rRNA from 1 species